AUUUCAAAAAAUAAUGGUUUAGAUGUUUUGUUGUUUUGUUUUCUUUUAGAUAUUCGAUAUGCAUUUGUUUUUCAUUCUGUUUUACAAUUGGCUUGAAGAAGAUGGAUGCAAUGUAAUGUAAUAUAUAUAUCGAGAUAUAUAUAUAUAUAUAUAUGCAUAGUAAGUACAAUAUAUAAUUUGCAAAAAAAUUAUAAUGUUUCUCUCAUCUUUCUUGAAUUUUAAGCUUUACGAGUGUAGCAUAA